AGCAGCCGCGGUAAUUCCAGCUCCAAUAGCGUAUAUUAAAGUUGUUGCAGUUAAAAAGCUCGUAGUUGAAUUUCGGGGUUAGUAGGUUGGUCAUGCCUCUGGUAUGUACUGGUCUCACUGAUUCCUCCUUCCUGAUGAGCCGUAAUGCCAUUAAUUUGGUGUUGCGGGGAAUUUGGACUGUUACUUUGAAAAAUUGAGUGUUUAAAGCAAGCUAACGCUUGAAUACAUUAGCAUGGAAUAAUGAAAUAGGACGUUCGAUCCUAUUUUGUUGGUUUCUAGGAUUGACGUAAUGAUUAAUAGGGAUAGUUGGGGGCAUUAGUAUUCAAUUGUCAGAGGUGAAAUUCUUGGAUUUAUUGAAGACUAACUACUGCGAAAGCAUUUGCCAAGGAUGUUUUCAUUAAUCAAGAACGAAAGUUAGGGGAUCGAAGACGAGUCAGAUACCGUCGUAGUCUUAACCAUAAACUAUGCCGACUAGGGAUCGGAUGAUGUUAAUUUUUUAUGACUCAUUCGGCGCCUUAAC
rnacentral:rRNA from 1 species